GGAUAGCUUAGUUGGCAGAGCAUGAGGCUCUUAAUCUCAGGGUUGUGGGUUCGAGCCCCAUGUUGGGCA